UCCUACGGGGGGCAGCAGUGGGGAAUAUUGGGCAAUGGGCGCAAGCCUGACCCAGCAACGCCGCGUGAAGGAAGAAGGCUUUCGGGUUGUAAACUUCUUUUGGCAGGGACGAAACAAAUGACGGUACCUGCAGAAUAAGCUCCGGCUAACUACGUGCCAGCAGCCGCGGUAAUACGUAGGGAGCAAGCGUUAUCCGGAUUUACUGGGUGUAAAGGGCGCGUAGGCGGGAAUGCAAGUCAGAUGUGAAAUCUGAGGGCUCAACCCUCAAACUGCAUUUGAAACUGUAUUUCUUGAGUGAUGGAGAGGCAAGUGGAAUUCCUAGUGUAGCGGUGAAAUGCGUAGAUAUUAGGAGGAACACCAGUGGCGAAGGCGACUUGCUGGACAUUAACUGACGCUGAGGCGCGAAAGCGUGGGGAGCAAACAGGAUUAGAUACCCGAGUAGUCAC
rnacentral:rRNA from 1 species